UGUCCAGGGAUGGGAAUCUUGUGGGAAACACUGUUCCGCUUACCGGGCAGAUGCCAUGUCCACUAGGCUACCCUGGAC
rnacentral:tRNA from 1 species